AGUGAACGCUGGCGGUAGGCCUAACACAUGCAAGUCGAACGGCAGCACAGUAAGAGCUUGCUCUUACGGGUGGCGAGUGGCGGACGGGUGAGGAAUACAUCGGAAUCUACUUUUUCGUGGGGGAUAACGUAGGGAAACUUACGCUAAUACCGCAUACGACCUACGGGUGAAAGCAGGGGAUCUUCGGACCUUGCGCGAUUGAAUGAGCCGAUGUCGGAUUAGCUAGUUGGCGGGGUAAAGGCCCACCAAGGCGACGAUCCGUAGCUGGUCUGAGAGGAUGAUCAGCCACACUGGAACUGAGACACGGUUCAGACUCCUACGGGAGGCAGCAGUGGGGAAUAUUGGACAAAGGGCGCAAGCCUGAUCCAGCCAUACCGCGUGGGUUAAGAAGGCCUUCGGGUUGUAAAGCCCUUUUGUUGGGAAAGAAAAGCAGCAGGUUAAUACCCCGCUGUUCUGACGGUACCCAAAGAAUAAGCACCGGCUAACUUCGUG
rnacentral:rRNA from 1 species